rnacentral:lncRNA from 1 species
UCUUGGUGAUCCCUUGUUCCACAUCGUUUUACAUUACUUACUUGAGCACCCCAGAGGCUCCAUUUCAAGUAUCUUGCAAUUUUCUGCAGCUAGAAGAAAACGGCAAGAAAUAUGUCCAGGACAAUUGUCUGCUUUUUGUUAUUAACAUUGGUUAUAUGCGUCAUCGAAGCGUAUCCAAAGUCGAAGAUUCAAGAAGCUUCUGAGCACGAAGGCGGUCAGCUGAGCCCUUUACAGAAGAAUUUAUUGGCAGAGGAAAGAAGAGAAACUGCAAGCAGCGAAGGCAACAAACACCGCUACAUGGCCUUGGAGGAUGAGGAUGA